GGCCUCUUCCCUUCCACCCCCUCGUCUAAACUCCAAACCUUAGCGUCCCUCGCGCCCCACCCGUGCCUCCUUGCCUCCACAAGCCGCCACCCACCCACCGCCUCGUCCCUCCCACAGCUCGCCGCCGACGGCCUCUCCUCUCCCAUCUGCUUCCCUACCACAACACGCGGAACGCCUCAUCCCGAUCCAACGCGCCGCCGUCUCCUCCCCGAUCUAGAUCCGACGCGUCGCCGCCUCCUCCCCGAUCCAGAUCGACACGCCGACUCUCUUACCUUGCCGGCAGGUCCCUCCACUGUCGCCACCCCCUCCUCCCCCUACCCCGGCCACCCUCCCUUCCGUCACCCCCGCCUGCUCUGCCUACUGCACCGCCGCCUCCGACGCCAUGGAGAACGCCGAUCGAAGCAGCAACCCGCUGCUCGCCGACUAUGACUUCCCGUCCUUCGACCGCGUCGAGCCCGCGCACAUCCGUCCCGGGAUCCACGCGCUCCUCGUGCUCCGUGCCAGCCUCGAGGGCAAGCUGGAGGAGCUCGAGAAGGGUGUGGCGCCGGUGUGGGAGUGCUUGGUCCACCCGCUCGAGCGCAGCAUCGACAGGCUUGACAUCGUCUGGAACAUCGUCGACCACAUCAAGGCCGUCAAGGACUCGCCCGACCUCCGCGCAGUCGUCGAGGACGUCCAGGAGUAUUCUACUUGCUUUGGUUGCCAAACGAAAAUACCAUGGUUGGGUGACGUCCGUCUGUCCUGGGUUACGUUAGCAUACUAGUACAACACAGCUAGUCAUAACAAGUAUUGCUCCUCUUCUUCCUCGACCACCUGAACCACCACGUCGGCGGGCUUCUGAAGCAUCAACUUCAAUAAUGUGUGCUUUGAAACGUAGGGCGAAUCUUGUGGAGGAGUAGGGCGAAUCAGACAUUGUCUCGCUUGUGCCGCUAUGGUAAAAACAGAGCACCACACUUGAUGUGAAUGUGUUAAUACGGCAAAAUGAUUGAGAUCUAUUUGACUUUUCUCUUCUCUAUGUAGAUAACAUGCUGAAUGUUGUUCAUGCGACUGUGUAUGAAUCUUCUGUACGUGUAGAUUGUUAGGCAUUGUUUAAUGCUGCUGAGGGUGUAACAGAGGUGAGGUUUGUACUGCUGUUGAAACAAAUAGCCGAAGAAGUCAUAAUGUUCUUCUGUUAAGCUAUUGUCUCAUGUACUUACAAAUUUCUGGUUGACGUGUAGUGUUUCAACCAACAGCAGAAAAAUCAGUUUGAUGUAUGGAUGCUUCAUGCGGUUGUAGCUAAUGAUCUUUGUACUGAUGACAGUUUUGGGGUAAGUGUACUAUGGUAAAAUGCAGAUGUUGAUUAUUUCCUCGACCCAAGAGAGAGCAAUGAAGUCCAUUUCACUAUUAGGAAAUCCCCUCGGUUUCAUAAUUGUAUUAUUUUAUAAUCCCCCCAAUUCCUGCCAUAUUCCUGUGUAAGAAAAUGUAUUCCUGAGAUGAUCUAUUGUGUUAUGUAAUCUGGAGAGAUAUUUUAUGUGAUGUGAUAUGAUGAAUGAUUUGAAUU